rnacentral:rRNA from 1 species
UACGAGUGCCCCGAGCGUUAUCCGGAAUCAUUGGGCGUAAAGGGUGUGUAGGUGGCAAUGUUAGUCUUUUGUCAAAACCUUGGGCUCAACCCAAGAUCUGCAGAAGAAACGGCAUUGCUCGAGGAUGCGAGGGGUGAAUGGAACUCAUGGAGUAGGGGUGAAAUCCGUUGAUAUCAUGGGGAACACCAAAAGCGAAGGCAAUUCACUGGCGCAUUCCUGACACUGAAACACGAAAGGCGUGGGUGAGCGAACGGG